GGUUUCCGUAGGUGAACCUGCGGAAGGAUCAUUGUCGAAAUCGAACGGAAGAACGACCCGCGAAUCGUCAUUGCGUACUAGACAGAGCCCGUGAGCACCUAACGCUCAUGGGACUCGCGUCGCGUCGGCGUGGGUGUACUCGAGACCAGCGUCGUACCGGCGGACAAACAACGUCAGCACGGAUCGUGCCAAGGAGCUGCAUGGAGAGAAUCGUCGUCCCACGCCUUUGAUAGUCCUCGAUGCGGGACGGGGGGCGGGGGAUGUACGCAAUCUCUACUCAAGUCUAAACGACUCUCGGCAACGGAUAUCUCGGCUCUUGCAUCGAUGAAGAACGUAGCGAAAUGCGAUACUUGGUGUGAAUUGCAGAAUCCCGCGAACCAUCAAUUCUUUGAACGCAAGUUGCGCCCGAAGCCAUUCGGCCGAGGGCACGCCUGCCUGGGUGUCGUGAAUCCCCUUGCCCCUAGGCACCCGCAUGAGCAUUGGCGGGGAUAUAUGCUCGGGCGCAGAAUAUGGUCUCCCGUGGGAUCGGCAUGCACGGCAUGUCGAGGUGCGGUUGGCCGAAAAUCGAGCAAUGGCUGUGACGGGCACCACGGCGUUCGGUGGAUCGAAUGAGAUUGGCUGCGCCGUGGGCUCGGCAUUAGGCGGGCUCCGGACUUUGAGUAUCCCCGAGU
rnacentral:rRNA from 2 species